AUUGCUUCUCUGCCUUUUGGCUAAGAUUAAGUGUAGUAUCUGUUCUUAUCCGUUUAAUAUCUGAUACACACCCUAACUGGGGCCUUAUAUUAAAUGGAAUUUUUAAAACGGGGAAAUGGAAGAAGAGCUUGCUCUGUCCACUCCACGCAUUGACCUGGUAUUGCAGUACCUCCAGGACCCGUGCACAUGGC